rnacentral:misc_RNA from 1 species
GAUGAAGAACGCAGCGAAAUGCGAUAAGUAAUGUGAACUGCAGAAUUCAGUGAAUCAUCGAAUCUUUGAACGCACAUUGCGCCCCCUGGUAUUCCGGGGGGCAUGCCUGUUCGAGCGUCAUUUCACCACUCAAGCCUCGCUUGGUAUUGGGCAACGCGGUCCGCCGCGUGCCUCAAAUCGACCGGCUGGGUCUUCUGUCCCCUAAGCGUUGUGGAAACUAUUCGCUAAAGGGUGUUCGGGAGGCUACGCCGUAAAACAACUCCAUUUCUAAGGUUGACCUCGGAUCAGGUAGGGAUACCCGCUGAACUUAAGCAUAUCAAUAAGCGGAGGA